AACGAACGCUGGCGGCAUGCCUAACACAUGCAAGUCGAACGAGACCUUCGGGUCUAUUGGCGCACGGGUGCGUAACGCGUGGGAACCUGCCCUUAGGUUCGGAAUAACUCCCCGAAAGGGGUGCUAAUACCGGAUAAUGUCUUCGGACCAAAGAUUUAUCGCCUUUGGAUGGGCCCGCGUUGGUUUAGCUAGUUGGUAGUGUAAAAGCCUACCAAGGCGACGAUCCAUAGCUGGUCUGAGAGGAUGAUCAGCCACACUGGGAAUGAGACACGGCCCACACUCCUACGGAAGGGAGCAGUGGGGAAUAUUGGACAAGGGGCGAAAGUCUGAUACAGCAAUGCGGCGUAAGUGAGGAAGGCCUUAGGGUUGUAAAGCCCUUUUACCCGGGAUGAUAAUGACAGUACCGGGAGAAUAAGCUCCGGCUAACUACGUG
rnacentral:rRNA from 1 species